rnacentral:rRNA from 1 species
GCCUACGGGGGGUAGCAGUAGGGAAUUUUCGUCAAUGGGCGCAAGCCUGAACGAGCAAUGCCGCGUGAACGAGGAAGGUCUUCGGAUCGUAAAGUUCUGUUGAAGGGGAAAAAGAGCGGAGAGAGGAAAUGGUCUCCGAUUGAUAUUACCCUUCGAGGAAGUCACGGCUAACUACGUGCCAGCAGCCGCGGUAAUACGUAGGUGGCGAGCGUUAUCCGGAAUGAUUGGGCGUAAAGGGUGCGUAGGCGGCCUGCUAAGUCUGGAGUGAAAGGUACCGGCUCAACCGGUACAGGCUCUGGAAGCUG